rnacentral:rRNA from 1 species
AAACGCUUGAAGUCAGUCGCGUUGGCUGGGAAUCAACCUUGCUUGCACGGUGUACUUCCUAGUUAACGGGUCAACAUCAGUUUUGACUGUUGGAAAAAGGUUAGAGGAAUGUGGCAUCCUCGGAUGUGUUAUAGCCUCUGAUUGUAUACAGCAGUUGGGACUGAGGAACUCAGCACGCCGCAAGGCCGGGAUUUAUCCACGUUCGUGCUUAGGAUGUUGGCAUAAUGGCUUUAAUCGA